AGUGAACGCUGGCGGUAGGCCUAACACAUGCAAGUCGAACGGCAGCACAGUAAGAGCUUGCUCUUACGGGUGGCGAGUGGCGGACGGGUGAGGAAUACAUCGGAAUCUACUUUUUCGUGGGGGAUAACGUAGGGAAACUUACGCUAAUACCGCAUACGACCUACGUGUGAAAGCAGGGGAUCUUCGGACCUUGCGCGAUUGAAUGAGCCGAUGUCGGAUUAGCUAGUUGGCGGGGGAAAGGCCCACCAAGGCGACGAUCCGUAGCUGGUCUGAGAGGAUGAUCAGCCACACUGGAACUGAGCCACGGUCCAGACUCCUAAGGGAGGCAGCAGUGGGGAAUAUUGGACAAUGGGCGCAAGCCUGAUACAGCCAUACCGCGUGGGUGAAGAAGGCCUUCGGGUUGUAAAGCCCUUUUGUUGGGAAAGAAAAGCAGCAGGUUAAUACCCCGCUGUUCUGACGGUACCCAAAGAAUAAGCACCGGCUAACUUCGUG
rnacentral:rRNA from 1 species